CAGUAGCCGCGGGAAUACAGAGGGUGCAAGCGUUAAUCGGAAUUACUGGGCGUAAAGCGCGCGUAGGUGGUUUGUUAAGUUGGAUGUGAAAGCCCCGGGCUCAACCUGGGAACUGCAUCCAAAACUGGCAAGCUAGAGUACGGUAGAGGGUGGUGGAAUUUCCUGUGUAGCGGUGAAAUGCGUAGAUAUAGGAAGGAACACCAGUGGCGAAGGCGACCACCUGGACUGAUACUGACACUGAGGUGCGAAAGCGUGGGGAGCAAACAGGAUUAGAUACCCGAGUAGUCCCUGUCUCUUAUAU
rnacentral:rRNA from 1 species